UUAUUUACUUAUUUAUUUAUUUUUUUGAAUUAUUUAAAAAAAAUAUUAUUUAGAGAAAUCAAUUAAAUUGAAUUAAAAUGAUUCGGUUGGUAAAUCGAACAUUUUCAGUUUUUACCUUUUACACGGUUAAACCUCGGAAUUCACAGAAAGAAGAAAACAACAAUUGAACAAUACUCAUUUUUAAAGAAAUGAACAUAAGAAAAAUAAAAUAAAAAACGGAUAUCAAGAAAUAAACAAAAAAAAAAUCAGAAAUAAAAGUUCAUAAUUUCAAGCCAAUAACAAUAUCAGUUCUAAAUGCAAUCUCAAGUCUCAAUUUUAAUUCUUACACUAUGGCAAUCAACAAUCAAUUUCAUAGGUAAAAACCAAUGAUCAAUUUCAUUGGAGAAAAAUUAAUACACAAAACAUAAUAUAAAAUCAUUAAAAAUAAAAAAAAAAUUGAUAUACAAAAUAAUCACUACUUUUUGCAACAAAAAAAUUACGGUUUUUAUUUUUAGGGCCACAUCCAUUUCCACCUCCAUAUUUCCAGUUGAUGCAUGAGCUUGGGCUUGAUGGGGCUGCUUUGCACAGGGCAGUGGCUAGUCACACGGGAAACUAGGAGAAUGGAGCAAGUCGCAAACUCACAAAGAUAAGAAUAGUAGACUCGCAGAAACAAAUAAUCAAAGAAGAACAAGCAAAGAAUCAAAGAAGAUUAAGCAAAGAAUCGAAGAAGAAGAAAGCUAAG
rnacentral:misc_RNA from 1 species